rnacentral:rRNA from 1 species
AUUGAACGCUGGCGGCAGGCUUAACACAUGCAAGUCGAACGAGUGGCGGACGGGUGAGUAAUGCUUGGGAAUCUAGCUUAUGGAGGGGGAUAACUACGGGAAACUGUAGCUAAUACCGCGUACCAUAGGAUGAGCCCAAGUGGGAUUAGUUAGUUGGUGAGGUAAAGGCUCACCAAGCCGCCGUUCCCUAGCUGGUCUGAGAGGAUGACCGACCAAACGGGGACUGAGACACGGCCCAGACGCCUACGGGAGGCAGCAGUGGGGAAUAUUGCGCAUUGGGGGCACCCUGACGCAGCCAUGCCGCGUGAAUGAAAAGGGCCUUCGGGUUGUAAAGUUCUUUCGGUAGCGAGGCGUUAACUACCGAAGAAGCACCGGCUAACUCCGUGCCAGCAGCCGCGGUAAUUC